rnacentral:rRNA from 1 species
AUUGAACGCUGGCGGCAUGCCUUACACAUGCAAGUCGAACGGUAACAGGUCUUCGGAUGCUGACGAGUGGCGAACGGGUGAGUAAUACAUCGGAACGUGCCUAGUAGUGGGGGAUAACUACUCGAAAGAGAGGCUAAUACCGCAUGAGAUCUACGGAUGAAAGCAGGGGAUCGCAAGACCUUGUGCUACUAGAGCGGCCGAUGGCAGAUUAGGUAGUUGGUGGGAUAAAAACUUACCAAGCCGACGAUCUGUAGCUGGUCUGAGAGGACGAUCAGCCACACUGGGACUGAGAAACGGCCCAGACUCCUACGGGAGGCAGCAGUGGGGAAUUUUGGACAAUGGGCGCAAGCCUGAUCCAGCAAUGCCGCGUGCAGGAUGAAGGCCUUCGGGUUGUAAACUGCUUUUGUACGGAACGAAAAGCCCCGGGUUAAUACCCUGGGGUCAUGACGGUACCGUAAGAAUAAGCACCGGCUAACUACGUGCCAGCAGCCGCCGUAA